rnacentral:rRNA from 1 species
GAACACGGAGCUUGCUCUGUGGGAUCAGUGGCGAACGGGUGAGUAACACGUGAGCAACCUGCCCCUGACUCUGGGAUAAGCGCUGGAAACGGCGUCUAAUACUGGAUAUGUGACGUGACCGCAUGGUCUGCGUCUGGAAAGAAUUUCGGUUGGGGAUGGGCUCGCGGCCUAUCAGCUUGUUGGUGAGGUAAUGGCUCACCAAGGCGUCGACGGGUAGCCGGCCUGAGAGGGUGACCGGCCACACUGGGACUGAGACACGGCCCAGACUCCUACGGGAGGCAGCAGUGGGGAAUAUUGCACAAUGGGCGCAAGCCUGAUGCAGCAACGCCGCGUGAGGGACGACGGCCUUCGGGUUGUAAACCUCUUUUAGCAGGGAAGAAGCGAAAGUGACGGUACCUGCAGAAAAAGCGCCGGCUAACUACGUGCCAGCAGCCGCGGUAAUACGUAGGGCGCAAGCGUUAUCCGGAAUUAUUGGGCGUAAAGAGCUCGUAGGCGGUUUGUCGCGUCUGCUGUGAAAUCCGGAGGCUCAACCUCCGGCCUGCAGUGGGUACGGGCAGACUAGAGUGCGGUAGGGGAGAUUGGAAUUCCUGGUGUAGCGGUGGAAUGCGCAGAUAUCAGGAGGAACACCGAUGGCGAAGGCAGAUCUCUGGGCCGUAACCGACGCUGAGGAGCGAAAGGGUGGGGAGCAAACAGGCUUAGAUACCCUGGUAGUCCACCCCGUAAACGUUGGGAACUAGUUGUGGGGUCCAUUCCACGGAUUCCGUGACGCAGCUAACGCAUUAAGUUCCCCGCCUGGGGAGUACGGCCGCAAGGCUAAAACUCAAAGGAAUUGACGGGGACCCGCACAAGCGGCGGAGCAUGCGGAUUAAUUCGAUGCAACGCGAAGAACCUUACCAAGGCUUGACAUAUACGAGAACGGG